rnacentral:snoRNA from 29 species
CUCUCCGAUUUCUGCCUCAUUUUCUUUUGCUUCAAUAGAUUCAUGGGUUCUAAUUUUUGGAGAAGAAUAAGCUGUAUGACGACUCAAUUCACACAUUUUGAUACAACCGUGAUUGAGCGUGGUGCAGAUCGUGAGAUUACUUCAUUCGACUUGAUUAAUUCAAUUUAUUGUUUAUUUUUCAAGAUUUGGAGUGACUCUACAUUU